rnacentral:rRNA from 1 species
CCCUACGGGGUGCACCAGGCGAGAAAACUUUGCAAUGUGCGAAAGCACGACAAGGUUAAUCCGAGUGGUUUCUGCUAAAGAAACCUUUUGUUAGUCCUAGAAACACUAACGAAUAAGGGGUGGGCAAGUUCUGGUGUCAGCCGCCGCGGUAAAACCAGCACCUCAAGUGGUCAGGAUGAUUAUUGGGCCUAAAGCAUCCGUAGCCGGCUCUGUAAGUUUUCGGUUAAAUCUGUACGCUCAACGUACAGGCUGCCGGGAAUACUGCAGAGCUAGGGAGUGGGAGAGGUAGACGGUACUCGGGAGGAAGGGGUAAAAUCCUUUGAUCUCUCGAUGACCACCUGUGGCGAAGGCGGUCUACCAGAACACGUCCGACGGUGAGGGACGAAAGCUGGGGGAGCAAACCGGAUUAGAUACCCGGGUAGUCCCAGCUGUAAACUAUGCAAACUCAGUGAUGCAUUGGCUUGUGGCCAAUGCAGUGUUGCAGGGAAGCCGUUAAGUUUGCCGCCUGGGAAGUACGUACGCAAGUAUGAAACUUAAAGGAAUUGGCGGGGGAGCACCACAAGGGGUGAAGCCUGCGGUUCAAUUGGAGUCAACGCCAGAAAUCUUACCCGGAGAGACAGCAGAAUGAAAGGUCAAGCUGAAGACUUUACCAGACAGCUGAGAAGGUGGUGCAUGGCC